rnacentral:lncRNA from 1 species
GAUAGGCUCAACCGCUCUAGCUACUUUGGCGGUGGCCAUUGGCCCGAACCACUUCGUUCUUCCAUUGGAUGUGGAGAGAAGCGCCUGGAGGACAGGGACCGGCUCCCGGCUGUACCCCGGCGCGGCGUGCGUGGCGGUCGGGACUGCCGGGGAGAGGGGGCGGUGCCAGCCAGACCUUCAAGGUCAAACCGCUGUCGGUUGCCGUUAGGACGCGUGCUCUGGCGUGCACCGGGUGUCGAGUAGCACGGUGCGACUGUUCCCGCGGGAUCUCAGGCGGGGGCGGAGUCAGCCCGGACCCUGCGUCCCCUGGCACGGCCCAACCCGCCGCUAGGGGAGAUCGGCUGUGAGCCUCGGGUGGCUCUGGAGUGGUGUGCCAUCAGCGCAGAUCCGCUCGCCUUGGGCCUCCCACCCAAAGCCGCCUAGUGAACCCUCCAGUGGGUGGACCGAUGAGCUCUCAUUGGGUGGACUCUGCGUUGGGAAAGGAGAAGGCGAAAUGGGAUGGUUCGGAGGCGACGACAGGUGUCAGGGUCUUGGAGCACCAUCCCAAUCGCGGCAGAGCAACUGCUGAUGCCUGGGAGUGGAGCUUGUUCCGAGACAUACACUUGAACUUCGUAUCCCGAGCUCGCUUGCUGAUAAACUCCACCGGGUCUGAUGGCUGUCCGCUCUCUCUCUCCGGGACCGCUGAGCUGCUGCUUCUUGAGAACCGCUCCCCGGUUGUAAAACGAUGCUAGGGACGUCUGGUCCUCAGGGCCACUACCUUGAGCAGAAGCGGGCACUGAAGCGACUCUCGAGCCUCAGCCUCUACUGAGGAGCGAGGGCCCCUUUCCGCUCGCUGGUUCUGCAGGCUACCUCAGGCUCCCUUCUCAGCAGCGUGUUUGCACACGCUUCCCCAGUUUCUAGCUCUGCCUUUACAACCUAUUUUAAUGAGAUGAUGACGCAAUUGCAAACUUUUCCAUCUUUUCGUAGCGCUUCCUUAGAACGGUUGGAGGCUUUUCCAUUUCCUCUCUAAAGCUUAGCCCUUCGGCGGACGGGUCUUUCAACUAAUCUUUGGCAGUAGUUACUAACGUUUGUGUCGUGAUCUCUUGGAAAAUAAAGCUCUUAAGUUCCCAACCCCAUCCCCAGUCACACACAAAACUGCUUUUUAUUUCGGGUUUCAGCGUGAAGGAGAUUCCGUUAACCUCGGGUUAAGAAUUCUUCCCCACAUCAUAUACAGACUUCUUGCUACCCUGCACUUUUCUCUGAGAGAUGAAUAGAUCUCAAAAAAGCCUCCACCCCCCAGUCCUGUUAAAAUAUCAAUUUUCUUCCCUGACAAAUUAAUGACAAUGCCUGCUAUAUCCCGUCUCUUCUUAUCAUAUUUACUUUUUUAUGGUCCUAAAAUGAUCAUCUCAGUUCAAUGACUUCUCAUGGUGAGAAAUAAUACUCUACAUUGUCCUACAGUGACCCACACCUUAGAACUUUCUCCCCCAGGAAAGACUCCAGAUACCAGCCUUUAGAUUUCUAAGUCUCUUUCACCUUGCUAGCUACUGAAGUGGAGCAUCCCUGGAGGCGGAAAUGUUUAUUAACAGUCUUUAAUACAGUGCAGAAGUUUGCCAUUCCAAACUCAUUUUCCUCCCAGGGGCCUUCUUUCUGUUUUGCCUAGCCUACUUGCUUGUUUUUGUGGCAUUGGAGAGCUAGGGAAUGUCCAGCCACUCACUGCAGUGUGGCAGGGUGGUUCUGUCUACCUAGAGACGGAUGGCACAGAGAGUGGCAAGCAAGGGUCAGUGAUGAAAGAUAGGGAGAAGAGCCUUGUAGAAGGAGAAACGGGUUACAACCACCCUAACUACCCUCGGGGGAGACACGUUUAUUACUCGGGGUUAAUGUAUUUGCUUCCACAGCUGACUUUUAUAUGGGCACUUCCCUAGAAUGCAUUUCUUCUCUUUCCCUUUUAAAAUUCAAAAGGUUUGUUCUUGAGGGUCCUCCCGUGCUCCCCAGCUGACAUUGUACCCUGCAUGAAAUGGGUAGAGAAUAAAAUGAGGCUGACUUCUGAAGCCAAACAUGACAAUAA